GUCUGAACUGCUGAAUCGUUUUUCACCGAGUCAGGCUUUGCAGCGCGUUUCUACAUCCUGUUAUCAUGUUAACAACGAAAUACUUGAGAAUGGAUUGCUACAUAUGCUCCCAUGGAGAAUGUGGCAACAAUCGCUGACUGUGCCAGUGUGAUUGAAGGCGUCAGUCGGAGCCGGAAUGCCUUGCUGAAUGGGGACACUAAGAAUUAUGACUGGGACUCUGGCUACACGUGCCACCAGCU
rnacentral:lncRNA from 1 species